UGGGGAAUAUUGCACAAUGGGCGAAAGCCUGAUGCAGCAACGCCGCGUGAGUGAUGAAGGCCUUCGGGUUGUAAAGCUCUGUCUUUUGGGACGAUAAUGACGGUACCAAAGGAGGAAGCCACGGCUAACUACGUGCCAGCAGCCGCGGUAAUACGUAGGUGGCAAGCGUUGUACGGAUUUACUGGGCGUAAAGGAUGCGUAGGCGGAUUUUUAAGUGAGAUGUGAAAACCCUAAGCUUAACUUGGGGACUGCAUUUCAUACUGGGAAAAUCUAGAGUGCGGGAGAGGAGAAUGGAAUUCCUAGUGUAGCGGUGAAAUGCGUAGAGAUUAGGAAGAACACCAGUGGCGAAGGCGAUUCUCUGGACCGUAACUGACGCUGAGGCAUGAAAAGCGUGGGUAGCAAAACAGGAUUAGAUACCCUGGUAGUCCACGCCGUAAACGAUGAGUACUAGGUGUAGGAGGUAUCGACCCCUUCUGUGCCGCAGUUAACACAAUAAGUACUCCGCCUGGGAAGUACGAUCGC
rnacentral:rRNA from 1 species